rnacentral:rRNA from 1 species
UGUCCUACGGGAGGCAGCAGUGAGGAAUAUUGGUCAAUGGACGCAAGUCUGAACCAGCCAUGCCGCGUGCAGGAAGACGGCUCUAUGAGUUGUAAACUGCUUUUGUACGAGGGUAAAUCCCGAUACGUGUAUCGGGUUGAAAGUAUCGUACGAAUAAGGAUCGGCUAACUCCGUGCCAGCAGCCGCGGUAAUACGGAGGAUCCAAGCGUUAUCCGGAUUUAUUGGGUUUAAAGGGUGCGUAGGCGGUUUGAUAAGUUAGAGGUGAAAUACCGGUGGUCAACACCGGAACUGCCUAUAAUACUGUU